UGGGCCGGCGGCGAGAGUCGUACUUGACGUCGAUCGGACGAGGAGCAGCAGCGUGGGGUGGGGGUGGGGGCUUCGGCCUAGUUUUUUUAGGGAGGGGUGCGGUGCACUGCAGGCCUCAGUGGGAAGGCCGGGGCCUGGGUGGGAAAUCGAGGCCGAGCUGGACAGACGAGGCUGAGGUGGAAGACGAGGCCGAGGUGGAAGACGAGGCCGAGGUGGGCAGACGAGGCUGAGGUGGGAAAUCGAGGCCUAGGUGGACAGACGAGGCCUAGGUGGACAGACGAGGCCUAGGUGGACAGACGAGGCUGAGAUGGGAAAUCGAGGCCUAGGUGGACAGACGAGGCCGAGGUGGGAAAUGGAGGCCUAGGUGGACAGACGAGGCCGAGGUGGGAAAUCGAGGCCGAGGUGGGAAAUCGAGGCCGAGGUGGGCAGACGAGGCCGAGGUGGGAAAUGGAGGCCUAGGUGGACAGACGAGGCCGAGGUGGG